AACCGCCCCCGGCCGCAGCCCCCGCCCAGCCCGCGGCCCGCACUCGGCGCGCCCGGCCCCGCCCUCCGCGCGCUUAACCCUCUAGCCGCUGGGCACGCGCUGGCGGCCGGGGCGGAGGCGUCCGGGGGCGGCGAGCGGGACCCGGCUCCUCCUCGUCCCGCGCCAGCGCCGCGCCCGGCCGCAUUCUCGGGGCCGGGGGCUCAGCCGCUCACGGCGGAGAAAGCAGGCCGCGGAGGAGGCGGGCGCCCGGGCCUGCCCGGACAGGAAGUGGGCCCAGGUUUCCCACUCCUCGCUCUGCUCCUUCCUCCGCGGCAAGGGCAGGCCCGGGAGGCAGCGAGCGCCCCGGGGGUGGCCGGGCAGCCGGAUGCUCUCGGGGUUGCGGGCUGUGGCCCUGGGGGUUGAGGGCUGUGGCCCUGGGGGUUGAGGGCAGCGCGGGUGCGGCGGAAGCAGGGAAGCUGCGAAGCGGCCUUUUCGCUGGCCACAGCGCCCUGCACGGACGAUCAGUGAAUGGAGAUUACUCAAGUAUUUAUCGAGAACUUGCAGUGGGCUAGGCACGGUUCAGGUUGUGUGAAUGCGCAGAUCGACACACCGAAAGACCCUGCCUUAGGGGAGCUUUCCCUCCAAUGCGGGGAGAGGGUGGAUGAUUGCAGUUUUGCCCAGUAACUUUUGGGAACCUCACGCCACCAUUAAUUAGCUACACACAUCUCACCGAAAGUCUACCUUACAUAUUAAUCAGAAGAAGUGGAAGAAUAAACACAGAAGAAGCAAAAAAGGAAGGCACUUUCUCAUUGAAAGUUUCUAUUUAAUAUUGUCUUAAAAGUACUCCUGGAAGGACAAAAGGUGUUUUUAAUAAAUUAAUUUAUAUUCUCAAAUAUUGGAUUUAAUCCUACCAGUAAUGAAGGAGUCAGUUACUUUCUAGAUGUGCAGAAAUUACGUAAUGAACAAAAAACUAAUUCCUAUUCCAUUUUUUAUUAGGUCCACAGUUGUUUCACUUCUAAGUAAAUAUGAUUUUUUAAAAGUGGCACGGGGUGGAAUGUAAUUGAGGAAGGAUGGAGUUCCUAGAGAAAUUUUACUUCCUCAAUUUACACUCCACCUUACUUAGCAUACAGUCUUGGGUCUGUAAUUCCCUUAUCUGACUCUCAAGGAAAUGAAAAAGUAGUGCCUAGAUUGGACUAAACCUCAUUUAACUUCAAGACUGACCUUUCUCAAAGUUGAACCUUCGUCUUGUGAGGAACAGAAAAGAUCAAGAAUUGUGAAGCACCUCGAUUUUCCAGCUGUGAAGAUGUGUUCAAAUUUUCAACAUGCGGCCACAUCUGUGAGGUCACUCCCUCUGGAGGAAACCAGCUGCCACUUUGUGAGGAUACUCAUAGUCCUGUGGAGGCAUAUCCUCCAUAUGGCUAAGGCCUCCUGCCAACAACCAUCACUGACUUGCCAGGCAUGAGUGUGCCACCUUGGAAGCAGAUUUUCCAGCCCCAGUCAAGCCUUCAGAUGACAUCAGCCACUGCUAAUCUCUUGACUAUAACCUCAUGGGAGACCCUGAGCCAGAACUAGCCAGGCUUACCCCUCAUGGUUACAAAGUGGCUGCAACAGCUCCAGGUAUUCUGUCCUUUAACACAGAAUAACUCAAACAACAAGACCCAAAAUUCAGACAAGAAGGAAAGGGACUUUUGAAGAGUGAAGAAAACUUUCCUAGAAACCUCAGACUUCUCCUCAUGCCUUAUUGACCAGAUUGUAUCUCAUGCCCAUUUCUAAACCAAUCGUUGGCAAAGUGAAUGGUAUUGAUGUGAUUAGAUUAACUUUACCAAGAAUGCAUCCUCAGAGAGGCUGAGAAAAAGUCCAGCCUCCUUUGAAGAGCCUGGCUACCUUUUACCUGAACAAAACAAGAACUCUGAUGAAAAGAAAAAUGGAGAAUUUAUGUGGAGCAGGCAUCCAGAGUGUCUAUGCCAGGAUUUUUUUUUUUUUUUCAGUGCAUUUCACCAGUUAUAUUUUUAUCUAAAUCUUUACCUUACAAGAUAUGUGGCACAUUUGCCUAAAACAAGCCAAACAAGCCUUGCUUUCUGAUUUCUGUGCACUCGGCACUUAAACCUUGCAAAUGUCAUUUACCUAACAGUCACUGUCAAGGAGUACCUGGCUAAAGAAUCUCCAGCUAGACAAAGUAGAAGUAUCUGUGCUCUGGCAGUUGAAUAUAUUGUAUCAGGCUCAACAGCAGCUUUCACCAAAGGAUGAGACUUCACAACCAUUAGAUCUUCUUUUAUUUUGUUUUUAUUUAAAAAAAAAUUUUAACACACCAUUGCUACCUUGAGGCCAUUAGAUGUUCUUACCCCCAAUACCACAAAAAUUUAGUGGAAUCAGGGGUAUAUCAAGGCAAGUGGAAUAGGGUUGCUGGAAGCGGUCAGCCCCCAGGACAGGCAAUGAGGGAUUGUGAAUUUGGGAAGAAUUUUAAAGCAGUGAUACAGCUCUAAAUGCAAUGUACUAUCCUGGACUUAGCCCUGGAAGAGAAAAAAGAUAUUAGUGGAAAAACUGAUAAAAUUCAAAUAAUGUCUGUAGUUUGGUUAACAGUAUUAUACCAAUGUUAAUUUCUGUUUUGAUAAAGGUACCGUGGUUACGUAAGCUGGAUGAAAGAUAUGUGGGAAAUCUCUCUACUAUUUCUGUAACUCUCCUGUAAACCUAAAAAUAUUUCAAAAUAAAAGCUUUAAUGUUAAAAUUGA